AGAUAUCAGUUUCUCAGAAGCUGGUGUUCCAAGAAGCUAGAAUGACAGACUCAUUUCUCGCUCCUUUCUCCUUCCCUCUUGAAGGAGAAGCCUUGAGUUGUGCAUCUUCUCUUGAUUUUACUGAGGUAUGGUAGCUAUAGCAAACUGCCUACUGCCUUUUUUUUUAACUUUUGCUCUCAGUGGCUCCAAGGCAUCGAAACUAUGCUAGUUCCAUGAGUGCUCCAAGUGAGGCAAGACAGAGACUAGUCCCUUGGGCAGCCCUCUGAAGAGCCAGAAUGCCAACACAUGCUCCACUCUUCUCCCUCCUUGCCAAGGAAGAAGUCUUAACUUGUGCACUUCCUCCCCCAAUUGUGCCAUGCUGUGCCAACCAUAUCAAGCCACCUGCUGCUUUCCAUUGUCCUCAGUGACCCCCAGACAUUCAAAUUAUGCUAGUUCUGUGGGCACACCAAUCAAGGAAGUAAGAGACCUGUUUCUUGGGCAGCUCUCUGAAAAGCUGGAAUGUUGGAGGCAUGCUCUAUUCUUUUCUCCCAGAGGAAAAAGAUGUGAAGAGGCAUUCUGUCUUGGCACUGAGCUGUGCUAACUUGGGGGAGAGGCUGAUGCAGAUAGUAUUUGUUUUACUCUGAUGAUCCCAUGGAGUCUCUGCUAUAAGCUACAAGGAAGAUUUUGUGAGUUCAGCCAAGAACGAGAGCUUCGGAGCCUUCAGGAAAAGGCUUGUACUGCAACCUGUUGACUUAUCAAAGCUGAUCUGAUAUUGAUUAGAGCAGGGAUCAGCAAAGGAUGGCCUGCUUCCCCGGAAAGACACUGCCUGUUUUUGUAAAUGUUUUAUUGAAGCACAACAUGUCCACUUACAUUUGUAUUGUCUUUUGUGACUUUUCUUUUGCUAAAAUGGCAGAGCUCAGUAGUUGUGACAGAGAGAAUCUGGCCUGCAAAUUAUUAUUUUUUCUUUUUCUCUUGCCCAUGCUGCAGUGCAGUCACAGCUCACUGCAGCCUUGAACUCCUGGUCUCAAGAGAUCCUCCUGCCUCAGCCUUCUGAGUAGCCAGGAUUGUAGGCACAUGCCAUCAUGCUCAGCUAAUUUUUUAAUUUUUUGUAGAGACUAAAUCUUGCUUUGUUGUCCAGGCUAGUCUUGAACUCCUGGGCUCAAGGUGCUCUCCCACUUCAGCCUCCCAAAGCACCAUUAUUACAGAUGUGAGCCAUUGCUCCUGGCCUGGCCUGCAAAUUCUAAAAUAGUUACUCUCUGAGAUUUUACAGAGAUAAUUUGCUCUCAGAUUCUACCAGUGGAUGGGGCUGGGUUUCUCGUAUUAUUUUAGGUUGAAAACUAGACAGCUUUGUGAAACUGGUAACACAAGAUUCAGCAGCACAAGAAUUAAUUAAAUAUAUCUAAAUGAGCUAAUGAGGAAAUUUUUAUUGUAAUAAUUUGUUUGUUUGAAAUAGUGUUGUUUUGUUUUUCUAUUUUUUGAAUAUAUGAGGAAGUCCUAUCUUUUCUUAAGCCAUUAACAACCCACAGAAGUUUAAUAAACUGCUUUCGUAAACUGAAAAAAAAA
rnacentral:lncRNA from 1 species